GUAGGUGGCAAGCGUUGUCCGGGAAUUAUUGGGGCGUAAAGCGCGCGCAGGCGGUCCUUUAAGUCUGAUGUGAAAGCCCACGGCUCAACCGUGGAGGGUCAUUGGAAACUGGAGAACUUGAGUACAGAAGAGGAAAGCGGAAUUCCACGUGUAGCGGUGAAAUGCGUAGAGAUGUGGAGGAACACCAGUGGCGAAGGCGGCUUUCUGGUCUGUAACUGACGCUGAGGCGCGAAAGCGUGGGGAGCAAACAGGAUUAGAUACCCUGGUAGUCCACGCCGUAAACGAUGAGUGCUAAGUGUUAGGGGGUUUCCGCCCCUUAGUGCUGCAGCUAACGCAUUAAGCACUCCGCCUGGGGAGUACGGCCGCAAAGGCUG
rnacentral:rRNA from 1 species